rnacentral:rRNA from 1 species
GACGAACUGUCCUAACGUUGUUCGGAAUCACUGGGCUUAAAGGGCGCGUAGGCGGUCCGACAAGUCAGGGGUGAAAUCCUGCAGCUCAACUGUAGCAGUGCCUUUGAUACUGUCGGUCUCGAGGGAGAUAGGGGUGUGCGGAACUUCCAGUGGAGCGGUGAAAUGCGUUGAUAUUGGAAGGAACGCCGGUGGCGAAAGCGGCGCACUGGAUCUCUUCUGACGCUGAGGCGCGAAAGCUAGGGGAGCAAACGGGG